CGGUAUUUAAUUAUGAAGAUUGGUGGGGUAGCUGACCUUGUUAGUCCGUUCUUGCAAGAGUAGAAAGAUAAUCUUUCUGCUUUUUUAUAGUAUUUCCCCCGCUUAAUGGAUAACUAUUUGUUACCAAUGGGGAAUUCUUUCUCACCUUAAAUUAAUUGCAAAUUGAGGUGGUGGAAUUUGCGCCAGUGGAAACCAUAAAUUUCAUACACAAUAGAAAGAUAUGAUAGAUCGAUCUUUUUUUUAGAUAGUGAAUGGAGUUCUUCUUCUUCUAUUCUAUCCGAUUCACAGGUACUGAUCAUUGAUACUUAAAAAAGGGUUUCUUUCUUUUGGUUUGUCUCAGCCCAUGAUUGAAACGAGUCGCACAUACACCCUUGUACAUGUUCCUC
rnacentral:lncRNA from 1 species